rnacentral:rRNA from 1 species
UACGGAGGGAGCUAGCGUUGUUCGGAAUUACUGGGCGUAAAGCGCGCGUAGGCGGCUUUGUAAGUUAGAGGUGAAAGCCCGGAGCUCAACUCCGGAAUUGCCUUUAAGACUGCAUCGCUAGAAUCCGGGAGAGGUGAGUGGAAUUCCGAGUGUAGAGGUGAAAUUCGUAGAUAUUCGGAAGAACACCAGUGGCGAAGGCGGCUCACUGGACCGGCAUUGACGCUGAGGUGCGAAAGCGUGGGGAGCAAACAGG